rnacentral:rRNA from 1 species
GACGAACGCUGGCGGCGUGCUUAACACAUGCAAGUCGAACGGAAAGGCCCCUUUGGGGGUACUCGAGUGGCGAACGGGGGAGUAACACGUGAGUAACCUGCCCUUGCCUUCGGGAUAACUUCAGGAAACUGGGGCUAAUACCGGAUAGGAAUCCUUGCUGCAUGGUGGGGGUUGGAAAGCUUCGGCGGUUUUGGAUGGACUCGCGGCUUAUCAGCUUGUUGGUGGGGUAGUGGCUUACCAAGGCUUUGACGGGUAGCCGGCCUGAGAGGGCGACCGGCCACAUUGGGACUGAGAGACGGCCCAGACUCCUACGGGAGGCAGCAGUGGGGAAUAUUGCACAAUGGGCGGAAGCCUGAUGCAGCAACGCCGCGUGCGGGAUGACGGCCUUCGGGUUGUAAACCGCUUUCAGCAGGGGCGAAGCUUGUGGUGACGGUACCUGCAGAAGAAGCACCGGCUAACUACGUG